rnacentral:antisense_RNA from 1 species
GAUAUGGGAUUUCACUACUGUUGCCCAGGCUAAAGUGUAAUGGUGCAAUCUCGGCUCACUGCAGCCUCCACCACCCGGGUUCAAGCAAUUCUCCUGCCUCAGCCUCUCGAGUAGCUGAGAUUACAGGCAUGCACCACCACACCUGGCUAAUUUUGUAUUUUUAUUAGAGACGGGGUUUCUCCAUGCUGGUCAGGCUGGCCUCAGGUGACCCACCUGCCUCGGCCUCCCAAAGUGCUGGGAUUACAGGCAUGAGCCACACCCGGCCUAAAAAUCAUUUAAUUUUUUAUGCUUGCCUAGUUAUAAGGUCAAAAAUAAUCAAAUGACUGAUGCAGUCAGCACCUAACAACCUCUGUAUAUGGAAAGGGGGUAAUGAGAACAUACUAUUUGGAAAUAAUAACUUAGCCUAAGAGCCAGGUGCUGAAGUUACAUUUCUGCCUACCACAGCUAAAGCUCUCCUUACUGUCUCCUACCCAGUUCUACUUUCCAUCAAUUACCAAUCUCUUGUAUAAAUGUAUCCAUUACCAGGCUCACAGACUGGGAGUGAUUUUUCUCCUUUGGAGCUCGUCCAGAAUCCAUCAGCCUCACACACAUAUUUACCUGCAAAUCAUUGGAAAAGCAAAAAUGUUUAACUGCAUGUAUAAGAUGGUUGUCAUUUGCUUGAAUACCCCCUUGAAAAAUGUUGAUUCUUGAGCAUCCAUGGGAAAUAGAGGUGUCUGAAGAACCAUUUUACAUGAUUUCAUAAAUAGGAGGUCUCUGCAUUACCAUGUUUGCUUGCAAAGUGGAAACCUUUUAGAUGUGUAACUUGAAUAUGUAUCAAGAUCUCAAGUGCUUAAUGAUAAGGUUUUGACUUGUUAAAUUAAACCAUUUGGAAUAUA